GACGAACGCUGGCGGCGUGCCUAACACAUGCAAGUCGAACGGAAAGGCCUCUUUCGGGGGGUACUCGCGUGGCGAACGGGUGAGUAACACGUGAGUAAACUGCCCUUGUCUAUGGGUUAACUUCAGUAAACUGGGGCUAAUACCGGCUAGGAGCCCCUGCUGCAUGGAGGGGGUUGGAAAGUUUCGGCGGUUGGGGGUGGAUUCGCGGCGUAUCCGCUUGUUGGUGGGGUAGUGGCUUACCAAGGCUUUGACGGGUAGCCGGCCAGAGAGAGUGAGCGGCCACACUGGGACUGAGAGGCGGCCCAGACUCCUACGGGAGGGAGCAGUGGGGAAUAUUGCACAAUGGGUGGAAGCCGGAUGCAGCAACGCCGUGGGCGGGAUGACGGCCUUCGGGUUGUAAACCGCUUUCGCUCAUGACGAAGCUUUGUGUGACGGUAGUGGGUAAAGAAGCACCGGCUAACUACGUG
rnacentral:rRNA from 1 species